rnacentral:misc_RNA from 1 species
CGCACCUUGCGCCUUGUGGUAUUCCACAAGGCAUGCCCGUUUGAGUGUCAUUAAAUCAUCAACCUCAAAACCUUUGUGUUUCUGAGGCUUGGUCUUGAGGGUUUUGCAGGCCAUCCCCUUGGUCUGCUCCCUUUAAAUCUAUUAGCGAGACUUCCCUGUGCUGACCGUCUCUUGGCGUGAUAAUUAUCUGCGUCAAACUUGGCGGUUCUCGUUGGGCUUGCUUCUAAUCGUCCUCGGACAAUCGGAUUUGGGCGCAUAUAUGCACCUUUUUCCAAACCUUUUUGACCUCAAAUCGGGUAGGACUACCCGCUGAACUUAA